UGGGGAAUUUUGGACAAUGGGCGCAAGCCUGAUCCAGCCAUGCCGCGUGUCUGAAGAAGGCCUUCGGGUUGUAAAGGACUUUUGUCAGGGAAGAAAAGGCUGUUGCUAAUAUCGACAGCUGAUGACGGUACCUGAAGAAUAAGCACCGGCUAACUACGUGCCAGCAGCCGCGGUAAUACGUAGGGUGCGAGCGUUAAUCGGAAUUACUGGGCGUAAGGCGAGCGCAGACGGUUACUUAAGCAGGAUGUGAAAUCCCCGGGCUCAACCUGGGAACUGCGUUCUGAACUGGGUGACUAGAGUGUGUCAGAGGGAGGUAGAAUUCCACGUGUAGCAGUGAAAUGCGUAGAGAUGUGGAGGAAUACCGAUGGCGAAGGCAGCCUCCUGGGAUAACACUGACGUUCAUGCUCGAAAGCGUGGGUAGCAAACAGGAUUAGAUACCCUGGUAGUCCACGCCCUAAACGAUGUCAACUAGCUGUUGGGCAACUUGAUUGCUUAGUAGCGUAGCUAACGCGUGAAAUUGACCGCCUGGGGAGUACGGUCGCAAGAUUA
rnacentral:rRNA from 1 species